UGAGUCCCCAGCUGGCUCCAUGCCUGCUACCUGCUGCAGGGCCCAUGCCUGGGGAGCUACCCUCGGGCCAAGCCAACUGGAGCUGGACUCCUCCGGAAACUGGAGAUGCCCAGCAGGCUUCACUCAUCCCCUGAGUAGAAACGAGGCCUGCACAGCUGCUGAUGGCCUGGAUCCAGGAACAGGGAAGGCACCUUGGAGCCUGCCCUCACCCCAAUCCCCUAGGAAUCACCUCGCUGCCCAGGAACCCAGGCUUGGGGACUCACAUGGGCCAGGAAGCCUUGUGCCCUCUAACUCCUAACCACAGCCACGUGGGCGUCGGCCUCGAAGUCGUAGCGCACGAACACCCCGAAGAGAAUCACCAUAAUCACCUGCAGGAGCAGGCAGAGAAACACGGGGAUCAUUGGCCUCCCAGUGAGAUCAGAAGGAAUUCCCAGACCUAAGUCAUCAUCAUCAACAUCAUCAUCAUCUGCCAUCAUCAUCUGCAUCAUCAUCUGUCCUUUCUUUUUCUGAUUAUGAAAUUCAUACAGGGCACAUGAGAAACAAGGAAUGUUUGGGACACUGUCACACAACAGAGCGGCCUGGGGAGACAUCUGUGAUGUGCUACCCCAGACUUGACCCUGGAACAGAAAAAGGAUGUUAAUUGGAAAACUGGUAAAAUCCAAAUAAAGCCUGAAAAUUAGUUAAUAGUGACGUUCCCAUGUUGUUUUCUUAGUUGGGACAAAUGUCAUGGUUAUGUAAAAUGUUAACAGUAGGAUAAACUGAGUAAGGGCUAUAUGGGGACUGUCUUUGCCACUUUUCUGUAAAUCUAAAAUUAUUCCAAAAUACAAGGGUUUUAAGAAAAAAAACACGUAUAAAGGAUUGUAAGAACAAUUUAAGAGUUUUUCACAAGUUCAUUGGUCCAUAGUCAGGAACUGUCUUCUGGUUAAGAUCUGUGAUCUUGACAUGAGUUAACCAUAAUAUUUAGGUCUGGGAAUUCCUUCUGAUCUCACUGGGAGGCCAAUGAUCCCCAUGUUUCUCUGUUCAGCAGUAUAACAGUCUGUAUAUUGUCUGCUUAGUCUGUAUAUUGUCAAAAUAAAUUUGAUUUUCUAAUUUUUCUUUAAAAAUACAGAGAUAAUUGUAGAGAUUUGGAAAAUACAGAAAAACACAAAGAAGAAAGUAAAAAUCACUCAUAAUCCCACCACCCAGAGGCAAUACUAAUAUUUUGGUGUAUGUACUCUAGUCUUUUCCUAGCUCAUUGAAGAGGGGCUGGAGGGGAGCAGGGGGAGUGUUUCAAACGAUCAUACUAAUUUAUAGCGUUUUUAACUCCUUUCAUAUUUUGUAAACACCUUCCCAUAUUAUACUUCUACAACUUUUUUUCUUUUUCUUUUUCUUUUUUAUUUAUUUAUUUUUUUGAGAUAGGGUCUUGCUCUGAUGCCCAGGCUGGAGGGCAGUGGCUUGAUCAUGGUUCACUGCUGCCUUGACCUCCUGGGCUCAAGUGAUCCUCCCACUUCAGCCUCCCAAUUAGCUGAAACCACA
rnacentral:lncRNA from 10 species